rnacentral:rRNA from 2 species
GGUGGGUAGUUUGACUGGGGCGGUCUCCUCCUAAAGAGUAACGGAGGAGCACGAAGGUUGGCUAAUCCUGGUCGGACAUCAGGAGGUUAGUGCAAUGGCAUAAGCCAGCUUGACUGCGAGCGUGACGGCGCGAGCAGGUGCGAAAGCAGGUCAUAGUGAUCCGGUGGUUCUGAAUGGAAGGGCCAUCGCUCAACGGAUAAAAGGUACUCCGGGGAUAACAGGCUGAUACCGCCCAAGAGUUCAUAUCGACGGCGGUGUUUGGCACCUCGAUGUCGGCUCAUCACAUCCUGGGGCUGAAGUAGGUCCCAAGGGUAUGGCUGUUCGCCAUUUAAAGUGGUACGCGAGCUGGGUUUAGAACGUCGUGAGACAGUUCGGUCCCUAUCUGCCGUGGGCGCUGGAGAACUGAGGGGGGCUGCUCCUAGUACGAGAGGACCGGAGUGGACGCAUCACUGGUGUUCGGGUUGUCAUGCCAAUGGCACUGCCCGGUAGCUAAAUGCGGAAGAGAUAAGUGCUGAAAGCAUCUAAGCACGAAACUUGCCCCGAGAUGAGUUCUCCCUGAGACUUAGAGUCUCCUGAAGGAACGUUGAAGACGACGACGUUGAUAGGCCGGGUGUGUAAGCGCAGCGAUGCGUUGAGCUAACCGGUACUAAUGAACCGUGAGGCUUAACCUUAC